rnacentral:misc_RNA from 1 species
GUGAAUCAUCGAAUUUUUGAACGCAAAUUGCACUCUCUGGUAUUCCGGAGAGUAUGCCUGCUUGAGGGUCAGUUUAAAUAAAAAUCGGUGUGGUUUCGGCCUUUCGUGGUGACGCACCGGAUUUGGGUCAUCUUGCCUUCGGUUAAGUGACCUAAAAUUUUGCAUGCUUUUUUUCGAACGCAUUUAAAUGUUUUUACUUACGUUUUCGAUAUCGAUUUCUAUGUGUGGUCAUCCUC